CUCAGUCCCAUGAGGACACAUGCUACACUGUAUUUAGGGCCCAUCUGGAUAAUCCAAGGCUUUAUCUGCUGGGCACUGGAACAUAUGGAUGAAAAAAUGCAGUAUGUAACUAUGGGUCCGAGAAGCCUGUGCAACUGCAAGCAAGGCAGCGAGCCCCUCUCCACCGCACUUGCCUCAUCUGUAAAAUGGGUGCCAUAG